rnacentral:rRNA from 1 species
AGUGAACGCUGGCGGUAGGCCUAACACAUGCAAGUCGAACGGCAGCACAGUAAGAGCUUGCUCUUACGGGUGGCGAGUGGCGGACGGGUGAGGAAUACAUCGGAAUCUACUUUUUCGUGGGGGAUAACGUAGGGAAACUUAUGCUAAUACAGCAUAUGACCUACGGGUGAAAGCAGGGGAUCUUCGGACCUUGCGCGAUUGAAUGAGCCGAUGUCGGAUUAGCUAGUUGGCGGGGUAAAGGCCCAGCAAGGCGACGAUCCGUAGCUGGUCUGAGAGGAUGGUCGGCCACACUGGAACGGAGACACGGUCCAGACUCCUACGGGAGGCAGCAGUGGGGAAUAUUGGGCAAUAGGCGCAAGCCUGAUCCAGCCAGACCGCGUGGGUGAAAAAGGCCUUCGGGUUGUAAAGCCCUUUUGUUGGGAAAGAAAAGCAGCAGGUUAAUACCCCGCUGUUCUGACGGUACCCAAAGAAUAAGCACCGGCUAACUUCGUG